rnacentral:lncRNA from 1 species
GUCUUUUCUGGCAGAUUACUUCUGUGAGCAACUGGGUCUCUCAGUUCUUUGGGAGCACCCUGGGAAACAGUGUGGCUAUGACUUGGAGCUGCUCACCAGUUCCAGUCAUUCUGUGGUUGAGAGCUGCUCCCUAUGGAUGUUAAUUCUUCUCUAUUUUAGAUUUUCCACAGGUGUGGGCCCCAUUAGCUCUGGCCACCUGAGAAAGCCCUCAGGCAAAGAGUCGCAGGUGAAAGCCAGCAGUUAGAGGUUCACAGAAAUGAGUGCAGAAGCAUCUUCAGUUGGAGAGCCAUUGCCUCUUGCUGUGAAAUAUUUGGGAAUCUUCAGAAACCAUGAAGAAUAACCUGCUAAAGCUGAGCUGGGACUCUGCCUGGAUAUAACUUAUGGCCUAUUCUAUAUGGAAAGUUGGUUUUCUCACAGUUCCACUCCCUUUCCAGAUAUCAGCAAAUGGCCCUCCUAGCCCAGAAGUCUCCAGAGAGGGUUUUAUUUUGUCAGUCAAGCUGGAAUGCAGUGGCGUGAACAUUGCUUACUGCAGCUUCAAUCUCCUGAGGUCAAACAAUCUUCUCACCUCAGCCUCGCAAGCAGCUAGGACUACAGGCAUGUGCCACCACGCCCCACUAAUUUUUUAAUUUUUCUUUUGUGGAGACGCAGUCUUGUUAUCUUGAACAGGCUGGUCUUGAACUCUUGGAGUCAAGCAAUCCUUCUGCCUCAGACUCUCAAAGUGCUGGGAUUACAGGCAUGAGCCACCACAUUCAGCCAGGAAAAGUUUUUGUACAUUUAAAAAAUUAUAGGAUAUUUGUGUAUAUAGCUUUGCUGGUUUGACUUCCUAGAAUAGCUCCCAGGAACACAAAGUACUUAAUUGAUUAGUAUAA